CCCUUUCCUUCCUUUCUUUUUGGUUUAGAGAAGCCCUUUCAAUAUUUCCUUUAACCUGGGUUUUGUGUUGCUGUAUUCUUUAAGUUUUUGUUUGUUGGGAAAAAUUUUUAUUUCCCCUUCUAUUUUAAAUGAUAUUCUUGCUGGAUAGAGUAUUCUAGGUUGCAUAUUUUUUCCUUUGAGCACUUUAAAUAUCUCUUGCCAUUCCCUCCUGGCCUGUAGUGUUUCUGUAGAGAAAUCAGCUGAUAUUCUUAUGGGGGUUCCCUUGUAGGUAACAUUCUGUUUUUCUCUUGCUGCCUUUAGGAUCCUCUCUUUAUCACUAACUUUUGCCAUUUUUAUUAUGAUGUGUCUUGGUGUGGGUCUGUUUGGGUUCAGUUUGUUUGGGGCCCUCUGUGCUUCUUGUAUCUUGAAUCCAGUAUCCUUUAGAUUUGGGAAGUUUCCAGCGAUAAUUUCUUCAAAUAUAUUUUCCAUUCCCUUAUCUUUUUCUACUCCUUCUGGAAUUCCUAUUAUGCGUAGAUUGGCCCGCUUUAUAUUAUCCCAUAGGUCUCUUAUAUUGCUUUCCAGUUUUUUGAUUCGGUUUUCUGUCUGUUGACCAGAUUGAGUGAUUUCCAUUAUUCUAUCUUCCAUAUCACUGAUUCGUUCUUCUGCAUUAUUCAUUCUGGUUUUUACUGCCCCUAGUUCAGUUUGCAUCUCUGCAAAUGAAUGUUCUAGUUUUUCUUGGCUCCUCCUUAUAUUUUCUAGUUCCUUUCUGAGGGUAUCUGCAUUACUGUUCAUAUCUUCUCUUAAUUCCUUCAGUAUUUUCACUAUUUCUCUUUUGAACUCCAGGUCUGUCUGACUGCAGAGAUCUGUUUCAUUGUUGACUGUUUUAGGUGAGUUCUCCUGUUGGUUUGACUGGGGGUGGUUUCUCAGCUUCUUCAUCUUGCUUGUUGUUUUCUUUCUCCUGAGGGAGUUGUACUCUCCGUUAUCGGGCAGUGUUUGCCUUGUCACUGCCGUGGAAUAUUUCCUGAGGGCUGGCGUUGUUGGUCAAUCUUUUUUGAGGCAGUGUGGCUUUUCUGGAGUGUUGAUGGGGCUAACAGUGUUUCUUUGAAGCAAAGGAGGACUUCCUGAGGGCAGACAGGACUGGGAGGUCCACACCACGAUGGUAGCAGAUUUCACUUGGUCAUGCAGAGCUUGCUCUGGUGUUUUUAGGCUGUGGGGUUCUUGCAGGGGGUUGGCGGUGUUGGGCAGCUGCUCCUCAGGAGUGCAGCACCCCCUGGGGGCUGGAGCAGCUAUCUGGGUCACUGAGAACCUAAGAGGCUCUUCCCUAGGGCAGCCCAACUCAGAAGGACAGCCUGAGAAUGUAGGCGGAUCUUUUCACAGUCUGGCCGAGCUUGUUGCAGCUUUUCUGGGCUGCAGGGGCUCUUCCAGGGGGCUGGUGCAGCUGUUCCUCAGGAGUGCAGCACCCCCUGGGGCCUGGAGAAGCUAUCUGGGUCACUGAGAACCUAAGAGGCUCUUCCCUAGGGCAGCCCAACUCAGAAGGACGGCCUGAGAAUGUAGGCAGAUCUUUUCACAGUCUGGCCAAGCUUGUUGCAGCUUUUCUGGGCUGCAGGGUGUCCUCCAGGGGGCUGGUGGUGCUGAGCAGCUAUUCCGUGGGAGUAGGGCACCCCCUGAGGGCUUUGGUAGCUAGCAGGGCCGCUGAAAACCCAAGAGGCUCCUCCUUGGGGCAGCCGGACUCAGAAAAACCAUUGGAGAAUUAGGCAGAUCUUUUCACAGCCUGGCUAGGCUUGUUCUAGCUUUUCUGCGCUGCAGGCCUUUUCUCAGGGGCUGGUGGUGUUUGGUGCUGCUCUGCGGAAUUGUAGCCCCUCCAAAGGGCAAGCAUCCCUGUGCAGGGA
ensembl:lncRNA